GCAACAGUUAUCAAUCACAUAACAAAUGUUUAAUAUAAUAAAUGAAAUACUUUCCUUGGAAUGAACAUAGUUUAUAAAUACCAUAUUUAAAAUGUUUACGGUAGUAUAAAAGACACAACUGGCACAAACACUUCACAGAACAAUUCAAAAUGAAGUUAAUUCUAUUUUUCUUUAUUGUAUCAAUUUCCGCUGUUCUUAGCGAGGAAGUUUUAAAGGGACCUAACGUUAUUUGUAUAAUAACAUCUAUUGUUAAUUUCGUAAAAUGUCUGAAAAAAGGUAACGGGUUCCUUUUAAAUUCGAGCGAAAGUCUGGAAUUCGAUUCGAGUCCGGCUGCAUGUAUAAAAGAGUGGGUAGUAGAAGUGAUGGCUUGUGUGUAAUUGGAUUUACAUAGCGUUCGUAUAUCGUGCACUUUGAACAUUGAAAAUAAAUGUCUAAUUGAGCA